CGCACGGGUGAGUAACACGUAUCCAACCCGCCGUCUACUCUUGGACAGCCUUCUGAAAGGAAGAUUAAUACAAGAUGGCAUCAUGAGUCCACAUGUUCACAUGAUUAAAGGUAUUCCGGUAGACGAUGGGGAUGCGUUCCAUUAGAUAGUAGGCGGGGUAACGGCCCACCUAGUCUUCGAUGGAUAGGGGUUCUGAGAGGAAGGUCCCCCACAUUGGAACUGAGACACGGUCCAA
rnacentral:rRNA from 1 species